rnacentral:lncRNA from 1 species
CCUGCUCCGUCUCUGUUUCGGGCCCGCGUGCCAGGGUGUAUAAAGGCGCCGCCACACUCGGUUCCUCCCCAUCGCAAACCCUAGCCUGUUCCCAGCACGCCGCCGCCCGAGCACGAGCUAGCGCCGCUGCCGUCGACUUCCCUGCGCCGGCGCCGUUCCGUCCGCGUCUUCGCCACAAGCUGCGCCCGGAGCACCGCGAGGAGGUGGUGACCCCGGCCGUGCAACUCCCG